GAAAUGCGAUAAGUAGUGUGAAUUGCAGAAUUCAGUGAAUCAUCGAAUCUUUGAACGCACAUUGCGCCCCUCGGCAUUCCGUGGGGCAUGCCUGUUCGAGCGUCAUCUACACCCUCAAGCUCUGCUUGGUGUUGGGCGUCUGUCCCGCCUCCGCGCGCGGACUCGCCCCAAAUGCAUUGGCAGCGGUUCCUUGCCCCCCUCUUUGCGCAGCACAUUGCCAUUCGAGGCGGCGGCGGCCCGCGUCCAACAAGCUCAACCCCCCCGUCUUUGACCUCGGAUCAGGUAGGGAUACCCGCUGAACCUAAGC
rnacentral:misc_RNA from 1 species